CUGGCCUUGCCAGCACAGAAACCACUACCUCCAGAGCUACUUCCUGAGCCACUGCUGGAACCACUGCUACCAGAUCCACUUCCACUGGGCACAGUUUGUGGGGCAGCUGUGAUUGGAGCAACAGGAGUUGCAGGAGUGAUGAAAAUUCCUCUACAUGUGUACACAUAGAAAUUCAAACCUGGCUUAUUUGAGAGAUGUCAUCUCAUAUAUACUAACCACAUUCAGGACAGCAGGACAUUUCAUUAUCAGGCUAUUGCUUUGAUACCUGGUCCAUCCCUGAUUGAGGAGUUAAGACACG